AACGCACAUUGCGCCCUUUGGCAUUCCGAGGGGCAUGCCCGUUCGAGCGUCAUUACACCACUCAAGCCUGGCUUGGUAUUGGGCGUCGGGUCGCACCCGCGCCUCGAACAACUGCGGCUGCGGUCGAACGUCACCCCUGCGUCGUGGGAUUUUUAAUCUGCCGCACCGGGUGGGCGAUUAGCACGCCGUUAAACGUUUCAUUAAGGUUGACCUCGGAUCGGGUAGGGAUACCCGCUGAACUUAA
rnacentral:misc_RNA from 1 species